ACUUGCUCAGUAUGAAUAUAAGUACACAAGAUACUGGCUCAUUGUAUGUAGCAGUACACAUGAUACUGGCUCAGUAUGAGUAUAAGUACACAUGAUACUGGCUCAGUAUGAGAAUUAGUACACAGGAUGUGUGUGUGUGUAAUGUGUGUGUACUGACUGUGUACUGUGUGUGUACUGUCUGUGAGUAUUGUGUGUGCGUGAACUAUGUAUGUACUGUGUGAACUGUUUGUGUACUGUGUGUACUGUGUCUGAACUGAGUGUGUACUGUGUGUCUGUGUACUGUCCCCCCUAAAACCAUAUGUUCUAUUAUAACUGAACUCAACGUGCUCUGGAUGGUGUGAAGGCCAACAUGAAUUAGCAUGCUAAGGUCUUCAUUAAAU